UACGUAGGGUGCGAGCGUUGUCCGGAAUUAUUGGGCGUAAAGAGCUUGUAGGCGGUCUGUCGCGCCUGCUGUGAAAAUCCGGGGCUCAACCCCGGACUUGCAGUGGGUACGGGCAGACUAGAGUGCGGUAGGGGAGACUGGAAUUCCUGGUGUAGCGGUGAAAUGCGCAGAUAUCAGGAGGAACACCGAUGGCGAAGGCAGGUCUCUGGGCCGCUACUGACGCUGAGAAGCGAAAGCAUGGGGAGCGAACAGG
rnacentral:rRNA from 1 species